ensembl:lncRNA
AUGCAGGAUUUGACGUUAAAAGCUAAAUGGGAAGCUGGGGCGGCGGAAGGUAAAUUGAUGGUGGAUCUGGUUGUCAGGAACGGGCCCCAGACCGCCGCGCAGGCCGAGCGCCUGAUAACCCUGGAGCACUGCGGGCCGAGGGCUCGCCGUCGCGGGCGCGCGCCCGCGCGCGUGUGACCAAUAGACCCAUUCUCAACUUCUUGGGAAGUAAUUUGGGAAACUCGACAGAGAGGGACCUGACCACACACCCUGUUCCCAGCCUCAAUUUUCCAGAACUUUUCGCCAGGACAGGACACUUACUGUGGCUUUCAGAGUUUUUUUCAGGUGGAAGUGCCAAGAAGAUGGCAGCAAGAUCACUUGGGAGUUCUUCUUGCCUUCUCAAUCCCAGGACCACGCUCUAGGGGGUCGGCAGGCGACCCCAGCAGCCCAGUCUGUUCGCCAAUAGGUCCGGGCACGUAGGAAAGGUGAGCCUCUCACCUAAGCUGCCCUUCUCUGGGCUAGUACGACCAGGAGGCCUGGUCGUCCCCGCCCUGAGGUGGGCGCAGCCGUGGCGCCAGGGACGGAGCCUCCAGGCCCCUUGGAAAACAAAGUGUGCGUUUGAGUCGGGACUGGAGGGCGGCUGGACUCCUGCCCCUUCACCUGGACCACUGCUGGCCGCCAUCUGGCACUGGCCGGCUUGGUUGAGGUCGCCAGAGGAGGAGUGAGUUGUGUGCCCUCGGACUUCGCUGGAAAGGGAGCCGUGGGAGGCAGCUAGAUGCAAAGCCACACGGAGUCGAAGGAGGCAUGUGAGCUGCUUCCGAGAGAUUAGAUUUGCAGAGAAAACCGGAGCCAGCUGCGAGGGCCCGAGGCGCGUGUGUGUGCAGGGGCAGUACACUAGGCACGCGGUACCACUCUAGCCGGCGCUGAGUUUGAGCCGUGGCUCUACAAGGCGCGGGAAACAGCUCAGCGUUUCCUGUCUCCAGCAGCGCUCGCUGCUCCUGACUUCCUCCUCCACUGCCGCGCGCGCUCUCCCCGCGCUCGAGUCCCACCCACACGCCUGCAUCUGGACACUGGACUGGCGUCUUCCACCGCCAGCGCCGGCGCCCCACGGCUCCGCUGCAGUCCUCUCUGGAAACGCGGACAGAGCGAGGCAGGCUGUCUCGUCCAGCACGAGCCCCCGAAAGCCCCGAGCGAGCCCUACGAGCGUUUCCAGGCUGACAAGGCGCCUGACGAUGCAGGGGCACCUGUCCAAACGGGGCCUUAGCACCUCGUCCUCCAGGCCACGAUGCUGCUCCAGCCGUUUGCGUCGGAAGAGCUGGCGACAGUCCGGAACGCAGCUCGGAGCGGGUAGCUCUCCGCCGUGCGGGGAGAAAGGGACCCCGGACUUCCUCUAGGCCUUGCUGCAGGGCCCUGCUCUCACCCGAGGAGAAGGUGUCUGAGUGGCACGCAGCGCCAGGUGCGAUCCGUGUGUGGCCUGAUUCCUGGUGGUUCAGGCGCCUGACAGCCUUUGGGAGGCCCAGGAGCUGUGUGUUGGGGGUACGGGGUUAUGGUCAGACCGCGAGGACCGGUCCGCGUCUGCAGCGCACAGUGGGAAAGCUUGCCGGGUUUGUGUGCAACUGAUCUGGAAUCCAUUGGAGAAAUUUACAUCAAUUAGGACCU